CAACCUGCCGACAACACUGGGAUAGCCUUUCGAGAGAAAGAUUAAUACCGGAUGGCAUAGUUUCCCCGCAUGGGAUAAUUAUUAAAGAAUUUCGGUUGUCGAUGGGGAUGCGUUCCAUUAGGCAGUUGGCGGGGUAACGGCCCACCAAACCAACGAUGGAUAGGGGUUCUGAGAGGAAGGUCCCCCACAUUGGAACUGAGACACGGUCCAAACUCCUACGGGAGGCAGCAGUGAGGAAUAUUGGUCAAUGGACGAGAGUCUGAACCAGCCAAGUAGCGUGAAGGAUGACUGCCCUAUGGGUUGUAAACUUCUUUUAUACGGGAAUAAAGUUAGCCACGUGUGGCUUUUUGUAUGUACCGUAUGAAUAAGGAUCGGCUAACUCCGUGCCAGCAGCCGCGGUAAUACGGAGGAUCCGAGCGUUAUCCGGAUUUAUUGGGUUUAAAGGGAGCGUAGGCGGGUUGUUAAGUCAGUUGUGAAAGUUUGCGGCUCAACCGUAAAAUUGCAGUUGAUACUGGCGACCUUGAGUGCAACAGAGGUAGGCGGAAUUCGUGGUGUAGCGGUGAAAUGCUUAGAUAUCACGAAGAACUCCGAUUG
rnacentral:rRNA from 1 species